GAACAACAUGACAACGACGUCCGAGAGCUGAGCUCAUCGAAAUGCAUGGAUGUGGACAGACGGCGCAAGGACCUGGGAACUAACCCCACAGUCUGCGGGCCAUCUAGACGAUCACCCCUCGUGUUUGUUCCCACGCAUCGAUCGCGCAGCCCUUCAUUCCCCAGCUGUCAGCGACCAGCACAGGACACAUCGACCUCUUCCCCCGAGACUCCGCGGAGCUCAGCCUGAGGUAGGCAGAGCGAGACACAGAUGUGCAGUGUUUGAAACCACGUGGCGACGAAGGUCUGAAAAACAAACACACUCUGGUCUCAUGUAGCCUCUUCUUCCUGUACCCAGAUGGAAAGUAGCUUAUUUUUCCUUUAUUCUUCUAUGCCUCUGGAAGGCCCACAUGCAGCAUUUUGUGGAGCCCAAGCAGUAGAGGUGGAGGUCACACUAGCAGGGACCAGUCGUGGGCUGCAGAGGAUGAAAGGAGAUCCUCGCUGACUCUUCUCCAUGGAUUGACGUGAAAACAAACCAUGGGUGGCCUUUCUUCAUCCUGAAGAAGAGCGUUCCUGGCUGACAGCCCUGCCAGAUGCUGUGCACGGCGGACAGUGGCAUCGAAGGCUCUAUUUUCAGAGACAGCAGCAAUGUGGGGCACCAUCCUGCUAGGAUGAAUGGAGUGUGAACCCCUGAUGACCUUUCCCUAAUUGAAGUCUGCAAGAGUCACAACCUGGCAAAGCUUCCAUGAGCACAGCGGGGAAUGAAUCCCU